UACGUAGGGUGCGAGCGUUGUCCGGAAUUAUUGGGCGUAAAGGGCUCGUAGGCGGUCCAUCGCGUCGGGAGUGAAAAGCUGGGGCUUAACCCCAGUCCUGCUCCCGAUACGGGUGGACUAGAGGUAGGUAGGGGAGAACGGAAUUCCUGGUGUAGCGGUGAAAUGCGCAGAUAUCAGGAGGAACACCGGUGGCGAAGGCGGUUCUCUGGGCCUUACCUGACGCUGAGGAGCGAAAGCAUGGGGAGCAAACAGG
rnacentral:rRNA from 1 species